AAUAGAUACCCAGGUAGUCCACGCCGUAAACGAUGGAUACUAGCUGUUUGGGCGCAAGUUUGAGUGGCUAAGCGAAAGUGAUAAGUAUCCCACCUGGGGAGUACGGGCGCAAGCCUGAAACUCAAAGGAAUUGACGGGGGGCCCGCACAAGCGGUGGAGCAUGUGGUUUAAUUCGAUGAUACGCGAGGAACCUUACCAGGGCUUAAAUGUAGAUUGACGUAUUUGGAAACAGAUAUUUCUUCGGACAAUUUACAAGGUGCUGCAUGGUUGUCGUCAGCUCGUGCCGUGAGGUGUCAGGUUAAGUCCUAUAACGAGCGCAACCCCUGUUGUUAGUUGCCAGCGAGUAAUGUCGGGAACUCUAGCAAGACUGCCAGUGUAAACUGUGAGGAAGGUGGGGAUGACGUCAAAUCAUCACGGCCCUUACGUCCUGGGCCACACACGUGCUACAAUGGCCGGUACAGAGAGCAGCCACUUAGCGAUAAGGAGCGAAUCUAUAAAGCCGGUCACAGUUCGGAUCGGAGUCUGCAACG
rnacentral:rRNA from 1 species